rnacentral:rRNA from 1 species
UACGAAGGGGGCUAGCGUUGCUCGGAAUUACUGGGCGUAAAGGGCGCGUAGGCGGCACUGUUAGUCAGGCGUGAAAGUCCUGGGCUCAACCUGGGAACUGCGCUUGAUACGGCAGAGCUAGAGGAUGGAAGAGGGUCGCGGAAUUCCCAGUGUAGAGGUGAAAUUCGUAGAUAUUGGGAAGAACACCGGUGGCGAAGGCGGUCUGCUGGGCAGUAGCUGACACUGAGGCGCGACAGCGUGGGGAGCAAACAGG